UACGGGGGGAGCAAGCGUUGUUCGGAUUUACUGGGCGUAAAGGGCGCGUAGGCGGCCACUGCAAGUCGGUUGUGAAAUCUCCGGGCUUAACCCGGAAAGGUCAAUCGAUACUGCAGGGCUAGAGUGCGGAAGGGGCAACUGGAAUUCUCGGUGUAGCGGUGAAAUGCGUAGAUAUCGAGAGGAACACCUGCGGCGAAGGCGGGUUGCUGGGCCGACACUGACGCUGACAGCGCGAAAGCUAGGGGAGCGAACGGG
rnacentral:rRNA from 1 species